CUCUUCUUGAAAAAACAUCUGGAAUUAAAAACAGCAUUCUAGUUGGUUCAUCGCUGCAAGAAGUCUAAAUAUCCUCUUUCCCACUACUUGUGCACCAACAAGAAAACAAAGGCUGACCAGCAGGUUCCACACUAAUUGGACAAUGAGAAACUGGACAUUACUAAGUCGGCUGCUGGAUGAAGUACAGUCUCAACCUAUGGUCAUAGGGAAGAUUUGCUCUCCGCUUUGUUCGUGUUGAGAAUUGUGGUGUUGGGGGCCGCAACAGAUAGGGUGUGGGUGGAAGAACAAUCAGAGUUUGUCUGCGACACUAAGAUGACAGGAUGUAGACCGAGUGGCGCAGCUGUCUAAGGCACUGCAUCUCAGUGCAAGAGGUGUCACUACAGUCCCUGUGUCACGUCCUGACCAGUAAAAGGGGUUAUUUGUUAUUGUAGUUUGGUCAGGGUGUGGCAGGGGGUGUUUGUUUUGGGGGUUUUGGGUUAUGUUCUAUGUUAGUCUAUUUCUAUGUUUAUUCUAGGUUGUCUAUGUCUAGGUUGGAAGUGUUUGGGAUUGGUCUCUAAUUGGAGGCAGCUGUAUCUCAUUGCCUCUGAUUAGAGACUAUAUUUAAGUAGGGGGUUUUUCUCAUUGUGUUUGUGGGUGGUUAUUUUCUGUUCAGUGUUUCGUGUACCUGACAGUACUGUUUGGCUGUCGUGUUUUUUCUUGUUUUGUUUAGUGUUCUAAAUAAAGUUAAUUAUGAGCACUCAA